rnacentral:lncRNA from 1 species
GCGACUUGCAGCCGGGACUCAUCGUGGGACGCUCCCGCCUCCUCUCCCUCGACGCUCACGUGACCGUUUUAACGUGAUAACGGAACGCUGCAAGACUCACCUGUUUGAUCUGGUCGGACUCGGACACCUGCAUCGCCAUGGUUACCGCUCUGCAAGAGGAUAGACAGAAUCAACAAACCGUUCAGAUGUGGAGCAGCAGAAUGAGAGGUGAUCUGGAGGGAACAGAGGAACCGGGUUUAAUAGAAUCUGUGGAGGAAAAUCGAUUCACAGACAGAACCGUCUCCAUCUCAGCCUCCAAGAGGAAUCUAUGACCUCCAGCCUGUCCAGAGCUUCUGGUGUGUUCAAGUUCUGCCGAUAAUGAUGGAAAUGUCAUUCUCGUCAUCGUUCACUGAUGAAGACGUGCUGACAUCGCGCUUCACAGCCGGAGGUCGAGGAGCCGUUCUGGGAGCUCUGAGGAGGCGCUCAAACAGCGCCUCCAACAGGAAGGAGGUGCGAGUGCAGCUUCUCCCCCAGGAAGCCUUGCAGAGAGAUCGUCACGCUGCAGCCGGGGUCAGGGUGCAGACGGAGGCAGCUGCUCCUCCCAUCGGGGUAACUGCUUUUGACCAGCUGAGAAACACACGUCGAUCCAUCUUCAUUCAUUCAUUCAUUCAUCUCUGUGGCCUUCAGGGUCAGUCGGAUUUAGAGACUCGAGUGUCUCGACUGCUGGAAGACAUCCACAACGUGCUGGACUCUCACAGGUACUGACUCCUCUGGAAAACCUGAAAAAAUCUGAAUUUCUGGGUGUUUUUUUUCAUAUUUGCUGCUAGAGCUGCCACAAACGAUUAUUUUAAUAGUCGACUAAUCACCGAUUAUUUUUUCCAAUUAGUCGACUAAUCGGGUCAUGCUCAAACUGGAUGUAAAACACACAUCUU